AUCACUGCCGAGUAUCCUGCAUCAUACAGAAGAGGGUGUUGUCUGGAGAAAAUCCGUAAGGGAAGAGCUGCUAGGUGAUGUAAAGUACACUGCUUCCCUUAGUUGUGUCUGGGAAGUACAGCAGGCUAUACAGUCCUGAAGGAACUGGUCAGUGUCUGGAGCAGCCAGUCCUGCUGCAGUUAUCCUGGGCAGGUGGUGAAAUGAGAAGUGAUACCUGUUUGUUAACAGGCUUCUGAUUUUAAGGGGUGAAGUUGAACGUAAUAGAACUGGGGGAGUUUUACCAGCGCUUAGUGCCUCAAAGUUGGAUAUUUGAAGCUUGACAGGAUUUAUGUUAAGCUGAUUACAAAGAACCAUUCCAGCUGCACUGCCUGUUAACUCACUGACAACACAGGCCUUCCAAAGAUAGUAACAGUGACUCCAAACCUCCUACUUAAAUCAAGUGAAGAACAGCUCUGUUCCAAAACAGCUGCCUGCUAGAGGAGCAAAACAGCCCCGUGCAGUUCUGACUUCAUGUUCUGCAAGACAUACUGGAAUAGGAACACAAAACUCUCAAGUGCUUGCUCGCUGGAGAGACUUUUUGAGAAUGGCAGCUCACUGCAAUUAAUACUAGAGUGCUGCUAGCUAGGAAUACAGCCACAGUGAGAGACACAGGAGUAACAACUGCAUCAAUGUGAUCAGCAUCUUUGGGAUGCCUGCAUUUCUGCUUAUGGAUGCUUCAGAAUCUCAGGAAUGACUAUCAGCAGCAGGUACACGUUUUGCUGUCAGGCACUGCAGCAACAUCAGAAUUGAAAUGACAGAAGUUUGGGUGGUAGAGAAAAAUCCUCAAAAUGUUAUAAAAGCAGCAUGAAAAAAAGUUGCAAUACAGCUGUGAUAAUACUUUACAAUGAAACAUUCAUAUUCUCUGAAAUUUGCUUCCCAUUAUUAUUUAAUGCUAUUGGAAAUUUAAUUUCCAUGAUUCAAGAACAGAUGGAAUCUGGACAGAUGAAAUUCUUAUUUACUGCAAAUAACUAAAAGCAGAGGUAUAUAUUCAUCAAGUAAUAAGCCUCUAAAAUUAAAUGAGCCAAUAGCUGUCCCACAGCUCAGAUGAGUGUUGGUUUUAGAAGGAUGUUACAAUUACCUCUCUGUUAUCUACAAUAUGGAAGUGAGGUUAUCAGCCACAGAUACUGCUCCUAGAAGCAGAAGUCUGUAAACUUCUAGUGCAAUGCCUCUUUCGUUCUUACAGUUUACCAGUGAAGCGACGGUCCCUUCAUGUAUGUGCACGUGAACUUACACGUGCACUUAUCUACACAGGAGCAAACGCAGCCUGUUUUCAGAAAUCUACUAACAAUCACUAAGACAGGGCUGUACUUCAAAUUGAAAUUUUGGUGGGCUACUCAGUGCCUUUUUAAUUUAACGGUGUAAAAACAGUUUCAAAGAAACCAAGCGGUAUUUUAAAAAAAUUCUAACAUUAAUCACUGUUAAAUACCAUUACACAUUCCUGUGACUGGUGUACAAAUUAGCAGCAUGUUCAGUCACUGGAACAAGAACUUUCUUUUUGACAGAAACAUAUCUGGUUGAUUGAGGUUCCAGUUGUGAUUUCCUUCAAUAUCAACCAUCUUAUCUUAAAAUGAAUAGUUAGAGAUCUUACAGAUUCAGCAAUAACAUAAGAAUUAUUUCAAGUUAGCCUUUUCCCAGAGAAGGAAAUGAGCAAAACUGCCAG